GCGGACAUAGUUCAAUGGUAGAAUAACAGCCUUCCAAGCUGUAGAUGCGAGUUCAAUUCUCGUUGUCCGCU
rnacentral:tRNA from 1 species